rnacentral:rRNA from 1 species
UAUAGUAAUAUAGACCAGGGCUGAGCCUGGUCAGUACCUGGAUGGGAGACCUCCUGGGAAAACUAGGUUGCUGCUGGAA